rnacentral:rRNA from 1 species
GGAUUUAUUGGGCGUAAAGCGCGUCUAGGCGGAAAAAUAAGUCUGAUGUUAAAAUGCGGGGCUCAACUCCGUAUUGCGUUGGAAACUGUUUUUCUAGAGUACUGGAGAGGUGGGCGGAACUACAAGUGUAGAGGUGAAAUUCGUAGAUAUUUGUAGGAAUGCCGAUGGAGAAGUCAGCUCACUGGACAGAUACUGACGCU